rnacentral:misc_RNA from 1 species
GCCGCCGCCGCAGAUAGCCGAGCCGCUUUAGCGAAGAUGGUGAAGGGCAGGCAAGGCGAACGCGUCAGAUUGUAUGUUCGCGGCACGAUUCUCGGCUACAAGAGAUCGAAGUCGAAUCAGUACGAGAACACCUCGCUGAUGCAGAUUGAGGGGGUGAAUACGAAGGAGGAGGUUGCGUGGUACUGCGGGAAGAGGCUGGCGUACAUCUACAGGGCCAAGGUGAAGAAGAAUGGCUCGCACUACCGCUGCAUAUGGGGCAAGGUUGCUCGCCCUCAUGGGAACAGCGGCGUCGUUCGCGCGAAGUUCAAGUCGAACCUGCCACCGAAGGCUAUGGGGUCGAAGGUUAGGGUUUUCAUGUAUCCGAGUAACAUCUGAGUGUCUACUGUUCUAAUGAGUCGUUCAGCUAUAAGAGAUUUCGCUACCAGUGGCUUCAAUUUUGUGUUGCUCAAAGACUGUUUAAACAGUUAUAAUGG